CUAUAAAAUUUAUUUAACAGAUUCUAUGACUGUAAAGAGGAAAUUGCAAACUUCCCAGUAAGUAAAACGAAGUAAAAAAAAAAAAAAACCCAUUGGGUUAUAUUUAAUUAAAGGCAAUUGAAUUCAUGUUUGUGGAUGAAUAUUCAUAAAGUAUUUAAAGGGACAUGCCAACUUUAACACUAAGAUCUUAACAUUUAAGAGCUUUUUCACCAGCUACACAAAUUCCAAU